rnacentral:rRNA from 1 species
UACGGGGGGGGCAAGCGUUGUUCGGAAUUACUGGGCGUAAAGGGGACGUAGGCGGCCAACUAAGUCCGACGUGAAAUCCCAUGGCUCAACCAUGGAACUGCUGGGCAUACUGGCGAUCUUGUGCAACCUAGGGGCGAGCGGAACAGAUGGUGGAGCGGUGAAAUGCGUAGAUAUCAUCUGGAACGCCAAUGGUGAAAACAGCUCGCUGGGGGUUUGCAGACGCUGAGACACGAAAGCCAGGGGAGCGAACGGG